AGCUAUUACUGGGUAGGGACUCCCUCAAUUGGCGCACCACAGUCUAUCCAUCAAAAAUUUCUCAACCAUGGCCCUGGGAUUGAUUGCCCAAAACCCAUUAGAGGACUGCAGGGAUCUGCCAGAAGGUGGGACAUGAGAUAUGAAUACAUUCCUUAAGGCUCUGUAGCCCUGAAAACUCAGCCCCAGAAGAUGAUCUGUGCAGGAGGUUUUGAGCCUAUCCAGGGUACCAGAGACACCAGGACUACCUCCUCCAGCCAAGACUGACCACAGUCCAGAGAACAAAACCCAGAUAUCAGAAUCUAUCUCUGACACUGGACUCUUCUUUCUUGCAUUGUGGGAAAUGUAAGAACUACUCUUGGAAAGAAACAGUAGAGACCAAGAGACACUGCGAUGGAAGCUGACUGGUUUCAGGGUUCAAAGGUCUGUGUUCCACCCCAACUUGGCCAGUUAUCAGCAGGAGGGGCCAUGAACAAUCCAGAAAAACCCUCUGGGCCUCUGGUUCCCCAUCUGAAAAAUUAAGGAUAGUGAAACUUGCCUUGCCUACUCACAAGUCUGUCCUGAACUCAUGAAACUCUAGCAGCUUUUCUAUCUCCUCAGCUUUUCUAUCACUUAGGUGAAAAACCUGUGGCCUAAGAAAUUAAAUGACCCACUUACCUGUUGUCUUAGUUUGUGUGUCCCCAGACCUUGAAACAAGCAAUCAAAUACAAGUAGUGUAUUUAAGACAGGCAAGAAAAACUGUCAGAGGAGUGGAAAAGUGAACCAAGGAAGAGAAGGUAGCCAGUAAAAUGAUUUAUCAGUCUUGCUGCCUUGGGGACAACUGAAAGUUAAUUCCCUGAGGAAAUUCUGGAAAUGGAGUACAAUGCAGGCCUUGAAGUUAUCCUGCCCAUGGAAUAAGGGAGCUUGGGUGUUUGCAUGCCAGUCUUGCAGAGUCCUUGGUUGAGGCUGCUGGGGCAGGAUGUGAGCAGAGUGGACUUCAUGGCCCUUUAAAAAAAAAAAAAAAAAAGAAAGAAAAAGCCUGCAGACAAAAGGAAGCAGAGUCUGGCUAGUGGAGGUUGGUCAGAAUGCAUGGAAAUGGCAAGGCCCAUUGGGUAUGUGUGUGUCAUUGCGAUGGCUUCAACAGCUAACAGUCAACAAGGCUAAGAUCUCAACUUCGGUUCCCUGACAUCCCAUUAGGGUCUUUCCCACUAUCACAACUCCCUCUGACAUUAUGGCUCAGUUCUCCUGACUCUCCUCCUCAUGAGGUUUCUGCCAAUGCCCAGACUGCUUCCUGCCAAUGUUGUUCUUCCCAUACAUGGUAACACCAUUGGGUCAGAGCUGGGAGAGGGCAUCCCUUGGCCAAACUGUCCUCUCCAGGCUCUGGCACUCAGCUCAGAAUGCUCAGCAUUGCAAGCCUAGAACAAGUUCCUUAACAUGAGAAUUCACAGAUUUGGGUGUCUGUUUCCAGACCUACGAUAUCUGUCAACAGAAUACUAAUCCAAGAAGAUAUUUUGACAGGAGAGAGAAUAGUGACCCCAGAAAAAAAGGCAAGUAAGAAGAGAGGGAAGUCCUUGAGUCCAAGUGACAAGACCAUCAGGGCAAGACAGGGUACAAGGGGAUUCAGUACCUGGUUCGGAUACUAAAUCUGCAAACAGUGAGCAUCCCUGUUGUUUACAGAAGCACAUGUCCCGGAUGCAGGUCAAAAGCCUAGAGCAAGCUAGAUCUGAGCUGUGCAUACAUUGGCAGACACGUGUGAGUGGCCCAGUGCCCCAGGGACAAGGUUCUUUUCUUAGCUGGGGAAAAACAGGCACCGGACUAUCUCCACCGAGGCCUCACCAAAGCAAUCAGUGGAGUGCUAAAUACCUAUCUGACAAGUCCAAAGUCUAGGUGAAGAAACAUGGAAAUGGUCUUUUCUCUUUGUGUUUUGGUGGUAGAGAGGGGCUGAAAGGACAAACAGUAAAAUAAAUAUUUUAAAAGUCGCAAAACAUUAAGGAAAAUUCUGACCCAUUAGAUACAAAUUCAUAAUUAAAAUAGCCUAGCCUCACUGCUUCUGCAUGUCAUCAAUUGUAAGAUGCACAUUUUUUUUCACAUUUUAAUGUCCCUGAAAUUGGAGUUGUCUUUGCAGUAAUGGUGGCCCUCAGUCCCUCCUAGCCAGAGAAUAGUUACAGCAAAAUUGUCAUUGCCCACAUGUCCCAACAUGCACAGAGAUACUCCCAUUUUCUUUACUCAUGUACUGAGUUUAGUUAUGCAAGAUGUCUUCAAACCAGAAAAAUGUCAGUAAUUGUUGAAGUUAGAUAAUGGAUUCACAGAGUUUAUUAUUUUAUACUUUCCACUCUUUUAUAUGUUUAAACAUUACUAAAAUAAAAAGGAAAAAAGGU
rnacentral:lncRNA from 1 species